AAGAAGCUCCAAGAGGGAUGUUUACCACUUCCAUCCCGGAGGCUUUGCCUUUGCUGGCACGUCUGCUGGCUGCAUCUGAAGUCGUGGCUGGAGGGACCAGAUGGCCAUGCCUGUGAUCAGCAGGGCCUACACCGUCCUCUGGGUUCUCCAUGGUGACAGACACACUGGUGAUGUCAUACAGAAUGCCAGCACUUUCUUCCCUGGGAGCCCUGAGUUCUCUGUUACCCACUGCUGCUUCAGGUAUGACCCGAGCCUGGGAGAGGGACCUGAUCGUCUUGGCAGCCCCAAAGCCACUCCUUCUAAAGCUGCUGUUGUCUGAUUCAAAGCCUGGGAAAUCAUAUGCAGGAAGAUAAUUUGUAGCACGCAUGGGAUUUAUGUUGGAAACAUCUUCCUCAGUCAUGGUGGAGUUGUUAUUAGCAUUGUCAUAGGAAUUCAGAAGAGGACUAGAUGCCAAGUCCUCACUGUUGUCUGCAGAGACAGUGCCAUGUGUGUGAGCCCCGACUGUA